GCACAAUGGACUGAAUUAGAUAGAUUGAAAAACGGGGAUCGAUGGCAAAUACAAACAGUUGGGUUGGGCCUUUUGUCCCCUUAGCUUGUAAUAGACUAGAAUUUAUUGCCACUUGGAUUUCUUCUAAUGGGUCCUCACCUGUUAGUUGAACCUCCUUUAAUGUUUUUGCCUGUGUCUGAGCCUCACAUUAUGCCAUCUAACCGUCCCGAGAUAUGAAUUCUUAUUUCUUCUUUUACCUGCAAGUUUAAAAAUGGAUCUUCUACUUGUACUUCUACUACUUGUAUAACUACGUGAAUACAAUUAGUUAAUCCUAAAGCAGUUCCACGAAUAUAAGAGGUAAGUGAACUGUUCUACCGAUUGGCUCUGUUUUUCUGGGUUUAGCAAGUUAUGGAAUUUUUUAAUUUUUGAUUCAUUUUGAGAGAAGGGGUACUGCUUUUGCCUUGCAAAUGAUAGAUCAUGCAUUUCUAUUCCUACUUCAUGCGUCUGGUGCUCUCUAUCAGACAAUUGAAGCUUAGCUGGCUUUGAUAAGCCUUUUCAACAUGUAUAUUACAAUUUUCUCAAGCCUAAAAGCUUUGUGAAACCCAUAAUAUAUUUUCUACAAAGAAAAUACACUUGCAUAUAUAGUACUGUGUUUCCCAAUUUGUUCUUCUUGUUUUCCUUCUUUCUCGGACUUGAUCUCGGUUUUCAUUUCUUGCUGUUGUGGAGUUUCUGGAUUAUGAUUCAUUAAGUAUCAUAGUUGAAGUGCUCUACAGGUAUGAUUUAUUUGCAUGCGAGGAUUAAUUUGCUCUGUAAAUUCUGAGAAAAUAAAACAAAAUUAUCUUUUCCGUGGAGUGAAGGAAUGGAUACCAGUGAAAUCAAGGCAGCUCCUGCUCCAGAUACACCGGUCACAUUUGAUGGAAAUUCUGAGCCAAGUAGGUCCAAGAAACUUGGAAUCUACUUCAUCGAGUCUGAUAAUAGGCGAAUGGCUUUCGGACGUAGUAAUAUAGGAGGAACUACGCCGGUAAAUAUCCAUGGGAAACCUAUUGCCGAUCUCUCGAAAACAGGCGGUUGGACAGCUACCUUGUUCAUUUUUGGGAAUGAAAUGGCUGAGAGGAUGGCUUAUUUCGGUCUCUCAGUUAACAUGGUGGCCUUCAUGUUCUAUGUCAUGCAUAGGCCCUUCGCCAGUUCCUCGAAUGCAGUUAACAAUUUCCUUGGGAUAUCACAAGCAUCAUCUGUCCUUGGUGGGUUUCUUGCUGAUGCAUAUCUUGGUCGCUAUUGGACAAUUGCCAUAUUCACAACAAUCUAUCUUGCAGGUUUGACAGGUAUCACCUUAUGUGCCUCAAUGAAUAUUUUCCUGCCAAACCAGGAUAAGUGUGAUCGGUUAUCCUUGCUUCUGGGUAUUUGCGAGCCCGCAAAACCAUGGCAGAUGCUCUACCUCUACAUAGUUCUUUAUGUGACUGGAUUUGGAGCUGCCGGUAUAAGGCCCUGCGUAUCUUCUUUUGGGGCUGAUCAGUUUGAUGAAGAGGACCCUGAAGAAGGGCACUUGAAAAUAGCCUUCUUCAGCUACUUUUAUUUGGCUUUGAAUCUUGGGUCUCUUUUUUCAAACACCAUAUUGGGAUAUUUUGAGGACCAUGGGAUGUGGGCACUUGGAUUUUGGGCGUCCACCGGUUCUGCUGUUUUGGCAUUGGUCUUGUUUCUUAGCGGGACUCCCAGGUACAGGCACUUCAUACCUAAAGGCAAUCCUCUCUCCAGGUUUUGCCAAGUGGUUGUUGCUGCAACAAGAAAGUGGGAAUUUGAGAUGGUGAAAAAUCAUGAGAAUAUGUUUGAAAUAGAUGGGAAGAAGUGUUCCAAAGAUGAGGAUAGAAAGAUACUUCACACCGAAGGAUUCAGAUUCUUGGACAGAGCAGCCCUUAUCACACCCAGUGAUUGCUCUGACAGGGAGAAUAACAUUCUCAAUCCAUGGCGUCUUUGCACGGUUACACAGGUGGAAGAGGUCAAGUGCAUAUUGAGGAUCCUCCCAAUUUGGCUGUGCACAAUUCUAUACUCUGUUGUAUUCACUCAAAUGGCAUCGCUUUUCGUGGAACAAGGUGCUGCUAUGAAAACUACCAUCUCAGGCUUUCACAUUCCUCCUGCAAGCAUGACUGCGUUUGAUAUUGUAUCCUCGUCAGUUUUCAUUAUAUUAUAUGACAAGUUCAUUCUUCCCUUAAUCAUCAAGGUAACAAAAAGAAAGCCUAAACCUCCAAGUGAGCUACAAAGGAUGGGCAUUGGGCUAGCAGGUGUAACAGUAGCCAUGAUAGUUGCAGGCAUUGUCGAACGACAAAGGCGUAUACAUGCAGCUAAUAGUGAUAAGGAGACGAGUUCAUUAGGGAUUUUGUGGCAGGCACCACAAUACAUCCUUAUGGGAACAUCUGAAGCUUUUGUUUAUGUUGCACAAAUGCAAUUUUUUGCAUCGCAGACCCCGGAUGCAUUGAAAAGCUUAGGGAUCAGUUUGUCCAUGUCUUCAACAGCCAUUGGCAGCUAUAUUUACAGCAUGAUUUUGACACUAGUGAUGGCAAUCACAGCAAGAAAUGGGAAGCCAGGUUGGGUUCCUUCGAAUUUAAAUCAUGGUCAUCUAGAAAGGUACUUUUUUCUCUCAGCUGCUUUGAUAGCACUGAACCUGGUACUGUUUGUAAUAAGCGCCAAGCGGUUCAAGUUCACAUCAUUUGAGAAGCCAGAUCUGGAGGCAACUAAUGCAUCCACCUCUCUUUGAAUUUAAUAUGGCUUUUGGGAGCAGCAAUCUAAAUUAUCCAAGGGUAAGAAUUAAAAGGUAAUACUUGUAAGAAGGUAGUAGCAGAAACAGAUUUUAAAAAUAAAGGGUUUCAGCCCUUAAUUUCUGUAUUACAAGAGACGUAAUUAUUGGCUAACUGAUCAAAUUGAUUUACUAGCUGCCACUGUUGAGGACUAUGAUUUCCGUCAUUUGAGUGGUAGAAUGCAUGCUGUAAACAACUACGCUUGAGAUGAGGUACAAAUAACGCAUCACAAUACUAUUUUAUUUUACUCGGGCGUUGAAAGGAAAGAUUUCAUAAUUCCUUGUAGAGAAUCCUUUGCGGCUGAUGAAAAAAUUUGCCCAUUCCAGGAGCAGCAAGGAAUCCCAAAUUUGAGAAGUUUAUCAUUUCGAUAUCUUUGCAGUCAGUUCUCUUACCAGCUUGGCAGCAACCAUUGCAGUCAUCCCAUCAAGAGUGUCGCGCUGUGGAUUGAAUUCAACCACAUCUGCUGCAACAACGUCAGCUUGAAGGUUGUGGAGAAUGUUGAGAACAUCACGGAAAGAGAGACCGCCAGGCUCAAUGUGAGAUACACCAGGAGCAAAACCAGGGUCAAGGCAGUCCACAUCUAUCGAGAUAUAAACACCCUUUACACCUUCCCCUAAUUUCAAAUUUUCCAAAAGCUGGCGAUCUCUUGAGAAGGUUCUCAUUUCAAAUUGCUCCACUCCAAACCUUUUGCCCUGCUCACGGCCUUCUUUUGUGAUUGAUCUGAUACCCACCUGAAAAGGACAGCAUUCUAUUUCAUUAGAAUUACUGAAAUAGUGAGCUCUCAUUGUAGUCUUGGCAAUAGGUGAUGUUCUAUUUCAUUAGAAUUACUGAAAUAGUGAGCUCUCAUUGUAGUCUUGGCAAUAGGUGAUGGUGGCCAUUCUCAAUGUUAGAAGUUUAAGGGCCAGUGGGAGGAGAGAGAAAGAGAAAAGGAACUACAAUUUUUAAUACCCUCAUAAACUUGUGAAUAAAUAAAUAAUAACUACACAAAUAUAAAAAACAUAUUAUAUGCUGUACAUAGAUUCAUAACCUAAGCCUUCGAGUAAAGGAAAUGAUAAGGAAAAAGUGAAAGUGAUAAGAGGAUAGUGUAAUUGCACUGAAGGGUCACAAAAUAUACCACCAAAUUUCUAAUCAACAAAAAAGUAUGUUCAUAUUUUAUUGACAGUAUUGUUCCUACAGGGGAUACAUUUAGGAUAACGUUGCUGAAAAUAAAAUUGAUGAAAUAAUCUGAUAAGAUUGCCAAUCAAUAAUUGUUUGCAAAUUAAACAUAAAGAGUAAUGAAAAAGUACAGAGAGUACAGGACAUACUUGCAAGAGCCUCCGUGCAUAACCACCUUCCAUUAUUCGGGCAAAUGAUGAUGCAUGAGAAUAUAUAUUUCCUUCAAAGGCAUGAUAGAUAUCUGGAUGUGCAUCCAGAUGAAGAAUAUCAACAGGUCCGCCAAGCUUCUCAGAGACAGCUCGUACCACAGGAAAAGAUAUUGAAUGAUCACCACCUAAAACUAACGGACGUAAUGGAUCCUGGAAGAGUAAAGAUCAAAAGCAUUACAAAUAAUACGUUGGAAACAAAUGUAACAUGGAAAUUCUUACAUCCAUCAAACAAGCCAAAUCCCAUAGGAUGCUAAAAUGGUAAAGAUCUUAGGAAAAAUGUUCUUGGCGUUCUAAGCAAGAAUGCAUAAUAUGCACCAUCACUGUCAUUAUUAAUUCAAAUUCACCUCUAUUAUGUGAAAAAAUAGUUGGCUACGACAUACAAGUUUAUGAGACACAGUUAUUUAGAAACAUACCCAAGAAAUUAAAUCACUCUGUACAGUAACUUUGAAUUUAAGAUCCUCCAAUAGUCUAACUUAACAAAGAAUCCAGUCAAACUACAAUUUCCCCCCAUUGGUUGAGUCAACACUUAGUAUUCUGUGUCAUUGUAGAGCACAUAGAUCAGGCUCAGGUUGAGCUAGGUAAUUCAUUAUCUCCGCAAAGUUUUGGAUAUCUGACAGAGUGUCAACAAGGAGAAAAUGCAAAUUUUACACGAGGCAGGCCUUCACGAGCAGAAAGAAAAGGAACAAUGCUUUGUAGCACUCUGAUGUUAGACUCUAAUCAAUUAGCCUUUUAAACUGCCAUAAUCCCUCCGCAAGGUAGAAAAUGUAUGACAAAGCUAGCUUGAACUCAUGCGUAACAAUGAAGAUAAAAUGCAGCACAUCAAGCCAAGAAUAUACUGGGCCAAGAUGGAUCAAUCAACAUAACCCAAUAGUGCAGGAUCAUUGGCAGUGAAACUUUUUGAAUCCUCUAGUUAUUAAUGCUCUUUUUCUAUGGUGAGAAUAUCCUAGAGGUAAUUUCAAAGACUUCAAACAAGAGAAUAUCUCAUGACAAAGUGUUGUCUCAAGUCCAAAACCAUUAAGCAGUCAUGUGGGGUUAACAGGACAAUACCAUAUCAAACUUGCAGCCACAGGCUACACAUAAGGGUACAAGAUAAACUUAAGAAAAAUUUUGCCCAAGACUCUCAAAGAGCCUCUUACAUGAAUAAGUAAGGAAUAAUCGUAGAUUACAGAAAACAAGUUAAGAAAUAAAACUACUUUCUGCUUCCUAGGUAUGAAUGAGGAAUUCCUCAAUUUGAAUAAUUCACGUGCCAUGAAAGAACUCUCAAAAUUCCUUAUAAGCGAAACAUUCACAAAGCUGCUAUUUGCAGAAUCUAUAAUAUGGUAGAGAAUUGUAAAGGCAGAUAAAAAACAUCAGUCACCUCUUCCAUCACCAGCUUGACAGACUCGCUUAUAACAUUCAUCAAUCUGUCAUCAUCUACACCACAAUCUCGAAUUUCUUGGACAGGGACAUCACCAACAUCAGUUAGAACACGGGGGUCAUUCAAUUCUUUCCCUUCUUCAGUUGAUGAGUUAGUGCUACCGCACCAGAUGGCCUCCCUAAUUCGAGGAGGAGCAAAUGCUGGGCCCUGAAGAAAUGAUGAGUUAUGCCCCAGAGGAACUCCGAGAAGGGACGAUGAUGCUACAACACCACCUAGAGCACGCACAAGCUCUCCCUUAAGCUUCGCUCUCUCACGAAUAAGAGUAAGAGAAGCAUCAAUAACGCGAUUUUGGCCCUUCUCUAUCAACUCAGCAGGGAUGUUCGCAGCUUUUAGUUUCUGCAAGUAAUGAAUUCCUCUCCGCCCAACAACCGACAUUUCUUGCAGAGGAAUAAGAAACAAUUAGAUAGAGACCGAAAAGCGAGAGAUAGAGUCGAAACGGCAAUGCCUCUUCCAAUUGAUCAGAAAACGAUAAGGUAUUAGCGCUAGUUCAAGACCAAGCAGCCGUGCAGCUUUUUCACUGUCACACAGCUCUCAACAGAAGCCUAGAAAUGGCAACGCUAGUUCUAGAAUAAGAUAAGG
rnacentral:misc_RNA from 1 species